rnacentral:rRNA from 1 species
AGAGUUUGAUCCUGGCUCAGGAUGAACGCUGGCGGCAGGCUUAAUACAUGCAAGUCGAGGGGUAACGACACCUUCGGGUGGGCGACGACCGGCGCACGGGUGCGUAACGCGUAUGCAACCUGCCUCUGACUGGAGCAUAGCCCCGAGAAAUCGGGAUUAAUACUCCAUAACAUUCAUUUAUCGCAUGAUAGAUGAAUCAAAGCUCCGGCGGUCAGAGAUGGGCAUGCGUAACAUUAGCUAGUUGGUAAGGUAAUGGCUUACCAAGGCUACGAUGUUUAGGGGGCCUGAGAGGGUGACCCCCCACACUGGUACUGAGACACGGACCAGACUCCUACGGGAGGCAGCAGUAAGGAAUAUUGGGCAAUGGACGCAAGUCUGACCCAGCCAUGCCGCGUGCAGGAUGACGGCCCUACGGGUUGUAAACUGCUUUUAUACAGGAAAAAACCUCCGGACGUGUCCGGAGUUGGUUGUACUGUUUGAAUAAGCAUCGGCUAACUCCGUGCCAGCAGCCGCGGUAAUACGGAGGAUGCAAGCGUUAUCCGGAUUUAUUGGGUUUAAAGGGUGCGCAGGCGGAUUGAUCAGUCAGUGGUGAAAUCCUACAGCUUAACUGUAGAACUGCCAUUGAUACUGUCAAUCUCGAGUAUAGUUGAAGUGGGCGGAAUGUAUCAUGUAGCGGUGAAAUGCAUAGAUAUGAUACAGAACACCGAUAGCGAAGGCAGCUCACUAAACUAUUACUGACGCUCAGGCACGAAAGCGUGGGGAGCAAACAGGAUUAGAUACCCUGGUAGUCCACGCCGUAAACUAUGGACACUCGUUGUUGGCGAUACACGGUCAGUAACUAAGUUAAAAUAUUAAGUGUCCCACCUGGGGAGUACGAUCGCAAGGUUGAAACUCAAAGGAAUUGACGGGGGCCCGCACAAGCGGUGGAGCAUGUGGUUUAAUUCGAUGAUACGCGAGGAACCUUACCUGGGCUUAAAUGUAGAGCGACGUUUCGGGAAACCGAAAUUUCUUCGGACGAUCUACAAGGUGCUGCAUGGUUGUCGUCAGCUCGUGCCGUGAGGUGUCGGGUUAAGUCCCAUAACGAGCGCAACCCCUAUUCUUAGUUGCCAUCAGGUAAUGCUGGGGACUCUAAGAAAACUGCCUACGCAAGUAGUGAGGAAGGUGGGGAUGACGUCAAAUCAGCACGGCCCUUAUGUCCAGGGCUACACACGUGCUACAAUGGCCGGUACAGAGGGUCGCUACCUGGUGACAGGAUGCUAAUCUCGAAAGCCGGUCUCAGUUCGGAUCGAAGUCUGCAACUCGACUUCGUGAAGUUGGAAUCGCUAGUAAUCGCAUAUCAGCAAUGGUGCGGUGAAUACGUUCCCGGGCCUUGUACACACCGCCCGUCACACCAUGGGAGUUGGUUGCACCAGAAGUAGAUAGCUUAACCUUCGGGAGGGCGUUUACCACGGUGUGAUCAAUGACUGGGGCGAAGUCGAAACAAGGUA